CUAGGUUAGCAGUGAUGUUGAACGAAGAUUGAUAAGAAGUCAGCAGAGGGCAUAGUACCGACAAGAGUAGGGAAGGCC
rfam:Photobacterium sp. 13-12 scaffold12, whole genome shotgun sequence.